AGCUUCUUAGCUCGGACAACUUGAGUAAUAAAGGGAACAGUUGGGAGUAACAAGAUUGGGAAAUGACGCCCCGGUGAGGUCGCAGGCGCGGCUUGGAACCCUGGCUCCAUCCGCUGCUACGCUUAGCUGAGCUGGUGCCUGCAAGGCCCAGUCCCACUCCCCCUCCCACUCCACCCCUGCCUCUGGCCUCCCAGCUCUUCUGCUACCUGGUUCCACACUACAGAGGCACAGGGGAUUAUAAAGGCCCUUGUCCUGAGCGCCACAAGAUAGAGCAGAAGUUAGUAACAGAAAGAGGGACUCUCAGGCUCCUUGAUGAAAAUAGAAGCUCAGCAGAAAAGCAAAGAGAAUCUCUACAAUAAAGGCACAUCAGACCACUGUACUUGGACAACUGGUUAGAGGAGGAGAGAGUGGCAUCUGUACUCCCCCAGCACACUCUCAGCUCCCGGCUCUUCAUGCCCUCUUUCUGCUCAGCCUUUGGCACUCAUUCAGACUUCUAAAAAUACUUGAGCAACUGCCCUGUACCAGAAAUGGGCAAAAGAGAAGGUAGGCAGCAGAGUUGGGCCCUCCCACCAUUUGCCCUAUGCUGGAGGAAAGCAGGCUACAUGCAAGUGAAGGAACAGAGGAGCAAGCUGCCUCCACAGGGCAAGGGGCACUGUGCCUACAGUGAUGGUUAGAGCCCCCAACCACAGAAGCAGCACCGUCUCCAUCAGUCACAACUGAAUCCACCACUACUUGGAAGAAGAAUCAUAGACCUUGCUGUGGCUGUUUAUGGAACGUCUCUGGAGGAGGCAGAAGGGUCCAUGCUGUGUGAGCUCUCUUGGGAGAACUGAGGAAGUAGCUAUUUAGCAACCAGUGUUUAAGUCACUAUACUAACAGCUGCCCUGUGUAGAGGCCACUGUGUCAAGGGACUGAUGGCCACCAAGAACUUCGGAAGGUGAUCUUACUCCCCCACGCACUCAAGCCCAGCCUCCAGAGAACGCAAAACCACAGCUGACAGCUAGCUGAACUGGCAACUUCUGAGUGACCAUACAAGAUUACUAUACCAUGGCUGCACUUGUGUCUGCAGGAUCUACAAGAUAAGGAAUGUUUUAACAGCUAGAUUUUGCCAUAAUUUGUUAUGCAGUAAUAAAUAACUAACAGAGAAUAAAACAGGCAUGACAGUUCAUACUUGUAACCCCACCACUUGAGAGAUUGAGCCAGGAGGAUCUCUGUGAGUUUGAGGCCAGCCUGGGCUACAAAGUGAGUUUUGGCCAGCCUGAACUAGACAGUAAGAUCUUGUCUCAAAAAAGCAAGCAAACAAGCAAACAAACAAAAAAGGCAGAGAACAGAGCCUAGAGCACUGACUGAUACAUUUGGAGCAAGGAUGUGUGAGAGAAAGCAAUGGACAAAAAGAGAUGUGUAGAUUUAGGACAUGAGCAACUUGAUGGUAGCAGUGCCAUUUACUGAAUUGUGGGGAACUUGGGAAACAUAACAAGUCAGGGAGGGGCACUGAGGUUUCUUCUUCGGAUAUGUUUUGAAGGGACUGUUCGACGUCCCGGUGGAAAUGUCAGUGAGGCAGCCUCCUGAGCCCUGCCCAAGCUCCGUAGCCAUUGUUUGAGAGCAAGGGAGUUUCUGGUGGACAUCUCCAGUCUUCCACACUCUCUAUAACCCACGCUCAUGUGCUUUGUGUUCCUUUGACUCAAGUAUAGAAUUUGCCCAGUUAAACCGCCCUUUGCGUCCAAGUUAUUGAAUCCCAUGGUUCCUUCUCUGUCUUAAUCAUAUUCACUCAUAACCACUCCCUUUCUUCAAAUACUUUCUGCUCUUGAAUUCUGUAGUCCUACUCUCUCUCCCAUAGGCCCCCCUGCUCCACGGAGUCACCCAGGUCACAGCUUGUGGCUAGCUAACCUGGAGAGUUUGGGGGACUGUAUUCAGGUGUCUGCUUCCUCAGUGGAGAUGGCUGGAGGGCUGGCUGUCACGGGACACUCUGUCCUCCCCGAGUCCCCGGCCUUUCACAUCGAUGCCCCAGGGGGUGGUCAAGUUCCUUACCCAGAAGCUCAAAGUUUAAGAGCAAGUGUUCCAGGGGGAGCAAAGAAACUGAGCAGUAGUUACAGAGUCAGAGGGGGUUCCCCUAGAAAACUACGGUUAGUGACAAAGGCAUAUGGAUAUCUGAGAAUAGUCUGGGAAAGAGGGAGAGAUGCACCUUGCCAAAGAAAGAAGGCAUG